UUCUAUCUUCAUUCUUGUUCAUCUUCAUCUUCAUCUUUAAACUUGUGGAUUCCGUAGCUUUAAGUUCUUCCGAAAAAUUCCCAAUAAUGUUCUUAAGCUGACAUAGGUUGAUACAUAAGCAUUACUAUUCAUCUAUUUAUAAUUUUUCCCAUACCUGCUCGAUAUAAAGUUCAAUGUUGGUGGCUGGUUCCUUGUGAACUAUGCGAGGCAUAAGAAGAUUCCAAAGAGGUAUGUGUUCCUUUUUUUAGUACUAAUAAUUUAGUAUAGUUUUUGGUAUAUAUUAAUAUCCCUGAUACAACUAUUCCCAAUUGAAAAUUUCAUUUUAAUUACUUGAAACAUGAACUGUAUCUCUAACUUCAGUCUGGUGGCCUUUUUAUUUUAUUUUAUUUUGAUCGAUAGAGCUAGGUCUUCCUCUCUGAUUCCAAGAACUGGUCAAACAUGGAAAACUGACUCUGCUCUCUGCUCUCUCAUCCAGACCCACAUCGCUAACAGUGUCCAGCCACCACCGUGAAAUCCUAACUCCGGUAGACCGGAGGAAAUCAUCAACGACGAAUUAGAGCUCCAAGCUCCAGUAAUUC
rnacentral:lncRNA from 1 species